rnacentral:lncRNA from 1 species
GGAUUUUGUUAUCUAUUUGGGAUCCCCAGAGAUUCCAUAUGAAUGGAUGAAGUUUUGCUCUGUCCCCAAGCUGGAAUGCAGUGGUGCAAUCUUGGUUCACUGCAACCUCUGCCUCCCAGGUUCAAGCGAUUCUCCUGUCUCAGCCUCCUGAGUAGCUGGGAUUACAGGUGCAUGCCACCAUGCCCAGCUAAUUUUUAUAUUUUUAGUAGAGACUGGGUUUCACCAUGUUGGCCAGGCUGGUCUCGAACUCCCGACCUCAGGUGAUCCGACUGCCUCAGCCUCCCAAAGUGCUGGGAUUACAAGCAUGAGCCACUGCGCCCAGACUUAAUGAUCAUUCUUUAACAGCCCUUUCUUGAUUUGUGUGUUUGUAUGUGUGUGUGUGUGUGCGUGGGUGUGAAUGUAAUGCAUGUAGUGGAGGUGUUUCUUAUAUAUUAUUUUUCCUUUUCCUUUUUUCUUAUGUCUAUUACUACUCCAUUUUAUAACAUUUAUAUUCUAUAUUAGCAAAAUUGUUAUCUCAAAUUUAAUGUUUGUAAGGUUCUUGUCACUAACCAAUCUAUCUUUAUAGUUUCUCUGUCAGCAGUUUUUUUUUAUAACAGAGUUAUUUACUUUUUUAUUCAUGCUUCUUUUCAUUCAUCAUCUUUUGGUGUGUUUCUCUCUGUAGUGGAUAUCAUGUUUGCUCAUCGUUUGAAAUGUCUUGUUAUAUAUAACAUUUGUAAGAAACAUGUUGAAAUUUUAUGCUCACAUUUUCAAGCUGCAUUUCAAGCUCUUUCUCUUGGUCUGUAAUAAUCAAUUUAUAAGGUUAUUUCAUUCACAAACUAAACUUAAAAAAUUCUGAUAUGGCAUGCUUGUUCAUUUGUAUGUCUGGAUUCUGGUCAUACUUACUCUUUAUUUUUAUUUGUACACAUAAAUUAUACUUCAUGAAUAUAUAUUUUCAUUCAUUAAGAAUAAAUAAAACAUUAAUAAAUCAGCAUUCUCUUACUUUCAAAGGA